rnacentral:lncRNA from 1 species
AUGGCGGUUUGGAGGGAGAGGCCACCAUCAGCAACGGUUGUGAAGGUGAGGGGGGUUGGGGGGUUGGUGGGGGGAGGGUGGUUGGAGGACUUUGGGGGUGGUUGGAGGACUUUGGGGGCUGUUGGAGGACUCUGGGUUGAAGAUGGAGGACUUUGGAGGUGGUUGGAGGACUUUGGAGUUGGUUGGAGGACUUUGGGGGUGGUUGGAGGACUCUGGGUGGAAGAUGGAGGACUUUGGAGGUGGUUGGAGGACUUUGGAGGUGGUUGGAGGACUUUGGGGGUGGUUGGAGGACUUUGGGGGUGGUGGGAGGACUUGGGGUGAAGGAUGGAGGACUUUGAGACCCUUCUCCUAAAAUAUCCUAAAUUCGAUGGGAAAAACGGCCAAAAAAAGGGGGAAAAUGACCCCAAAUCCCCCCAUUCUGCUGUGCUAUUAUGGGAUGGGCAUUGAGUGGGGUGCUAUUAUGGGAUGGCCAUAAUACAACCCCAUGUAACCCCUUCAGCAGCCCCCAAACUGAAGGUAUCCCUGCUCCCCAAAUCGUCCUCUAACGAACGGAAAAAACGACCCCAAAAUGGGGGAAAACGGCCCC